rnacentral:lncRNA from 1 species
AUAAUACCCAUAUAAUCCUAAGUCAAUCAACCAACCACCCCACAUGACUCAGAACUGAUGAGAGCCCACACUUACCUAACCGGCCAUGGAACCAUGUCCCAACGUAGCCGAUCAGCCUUGCUCUUACAACCGAUGCAUCCUUUGAUCAAUCAGAUCAGACACCUUGAUCCAUCAUUUAAGGAUAAGGUCGUCCAUUCUUACCCAUGAUCAGAUCACACACGGCCUUCCUUGAAUAAUCACACCUAGGCUCAAUACUUAUGGUCCGCGCCACAUUGUACUAGCCAUACGCUUCUUCAUGGCUUGCUGCUGGUUCCAAAUGAAUUGGACCUUACACUCCACGUCGUUCCUAUUAUACUAGGACCCCCAUGUGGUUUCUCCAUGAGCCGGAUCAAUCAUUCACACCAUGAUCAAACCCAACACCAAUCCAUGACCCGCCAUGGAUCACUAUCCAAC